CGUCAAGUCCUCAUGGCCCUUACGUCCCGGGCUACACACGUGCUACAAUGGUUGGUACAAAGGGAGGCGAAAUUGUGAAGUGGAGCUAAUCCCAAAAAACCGAUCCCAGUUCGGAUUGCAGUCUGCAACUCGACUGCAUGAAGUUGGAAUCGCUAGUAAUCGCAGAUCAGCAUGCUGCGGUGAAUACGUUCCCGGGCCUU
rnacentral:rRNA from 1 species